GACAGCGUGGCUCAGUGGAAAGAGCCUGGGCUUUGGAGUCAGAGGUCAUGGGUUCGACUCCCGACUCUGCCA
rnacentral:tRNA from 1 species